CAUGGCAUUGCUCUCAUUGAAAGUUCACUGUCAUUGAAGGUUUUUAAAAAUAUUUGCUACAUGAAGGCAGAUACUAACAACACGAAUUUACAAGGUGUGGUUAGAUGUUGAUAGAUGUUUGGCUGCAUGUGCGUGUGUGUUCCCUCUGUGUGGUGCCCCAGCCCUGCGCAGACAGCUGGCAUGGCGACUUUGAGUGAACUGCCCAAUCACCACAAGAUCUAAGGGAGGAAGGCACCCAGCCAGGUUUAUUGUCAAUGAAGUACAGUACUAGUAUCCCGCAGACUCUACCGGACCACUAAUGCUUGUAUGCCCAUAACAAUGGACCAGCUCAGUGAACGGCAGGACUUUCCCUUCCUCCCUAGGCCAGACAAAGAUAUUCCCUCUGAGCUACAUCUUCAUACCCUAAUGCAAACAAGUUAGUGCUGCCCUCUUACAUAGUUACUGCCCUCGACGUGGCUAGUUAUUACCCAUCAACUUGUUCAUGUUGGGUCAAUUAAAACAUUUCUGUUACGGUUUAUAAAGCAUGAAAA